AAUAGAUACCCGAGGUAGUCCACGCCGUAAACUAUGGAUGCUAGCUGUUAGAAGUAUCGACCCUUCUAGUAGCGAAGCUAACGCGUUAAGCAUCCCACCUGUGGAGUACGGUCGCAAGACUAAAACAUAAAGGAAUUGACGGGGGACCCGCACAAGCGGUGGAGCGUGUUGUUUAAUUCGAUGGUAAGCGAAGAGCCUUACCCAGGCUUGACAUCCUACUAAGGCUUCCGAAAGGAAACUGUGCCUUCGGGAAAGUAGUGACAGGUGUUGCAUGGCCGUCGUCAGCUCGUGUCGUGAGAUGUUUGGUUAAGUCCAUCAACGAGCGCAACCCUUGUAGUUAGUUGAAUUUUUCUAGCUAGACUGCCCUGGUAACAGGGAGAAGGGGGGGAUGAUGUCAGGUCAGUAUUACCCGUUACGUCUGGGGCUACAAACACGCUACAAUGGCCAGUACAAAGGGCAGCCAACCCGCGAGGGGGAGCAAAUCCCAUCAAAGCUGGUCUCAGUUCGGAUGGCAGGCUGAAACUCGCCUGCUUGAAG
rnacentral:rRNA from 1 species